CACUGCCGAGAAAAGCCUCUAGAUAGAAAAUAGGUGCCCGUACCGCAAACCGACACAGGUAGUCAAGAUGAGAAUUCUAAGGUGAGCGAGCGAACUCUCGUUAAGGAACUCGGCAAAAUGACCCCGUAACUUCGGGAGAAGGGGUGCUCUUUAGGGUUAACGCCCAGAAGAGCCGCAGUGAAUAGGCCCAAGCGACUGUUUAUCAAAAACACAGGUCUCUGCUAAACCGUAAGGUGAUGUAUAGGGGCUGACGCCUGCCCGGUGCUGGAAGGUUAAGAGGAGUGGUUAGCUUCUGCGAAGCUACGAAUCGAAGCCCCAGUAAACGGCGGCCGUAACUAUAACGGUCCUAAGGUAGCGAAAUUCCUUGUCGGGUAAGUUCCGACCCGCACGAAAGGCGUAACGAUUUGGGCACUGUCUCAACGAGAGACUCGGUGAAAUCAUAGUACCUGUGAAGAUGCAGGUUACCCGCGACAGGACGGAAAGACCCCGUGGAGCUUUACUGUAGCCUGAUAUUGAAAUUCGGCACAGCUUGUACAGGAUAGGUAGGAGCCUUUGAAACGUGAGCGCUAGCUUACGUGGAGGCGCUGGUGGGAUACUACCCUAGCUGUGUUGGCUUUCUAACCCGCACCACUUAUCGUGGUGGGAGACAGUGUCAGGCGGGCAGUUUGACUGGGGCGGUCGCCUCCUAAAAGGUAACGGAGGCGCUCAAAGGUUCCCUCAGAAUGGUUGGAAAUCAUUCAUAGAGUGUAAAGGCAUAAGGGAGCUUGACUGCGAGACCUACAAGUCGAGCAGGGUCGAAAGACGGACUUAGUGAUCCGGUGGUUCCGCAUGGAAGGGCCAUCGCUCAACGGAUAAAAGCUACCCCGGGGAUAACAGGCUUAUCUCCCCCAAGAGUUCACAUCGACGGGGAGGUUUGGCACCUCGAUGUCGGCUCAUCGCAUCCUGGGGCUGUAGUCGGUCCCAAGGGUUGGGCUGUUCGCCCAUUAAAGCGGUACGCGAGCUGGGUUCAGAACGUCGUGAGACAGUUCGGUCCCUAUCCGUCGUGGGCGUAGGAAAUUUGAGAGGAGCUGUCCUUAGUACGAGAGGACCGGGAUGGACAUACCUCUGGUGUACCAGUUGUCGUGCCAACGGCAUAGCUGGGUAGCUAUGUGUGGACGGGAUAAGUGCUGAAAGCAUCUAAGCAUGAAGCCCCCCUCAAGAUGAGAUUUCCCAACUUCGGUUAUAAGAUCCCUCAAAGAUGAUGAGGUUAAUAGGUUCGAG
rnacentral:rRNA from 1 species